GGGCCCGCACAAGCGGUGGAGUAUGUGGUUUAAUUCGAUGCAACGCGAAGAACCUUACCAGGGUUUGACAUCCUGCGAAUCUCUUGGAAACGAGGAGAGCGCUUCGGGAGCGCAGUGACAGGUGGUGCAUGGCUGUCGUCAGCUCGUGUCGUGAGAUGUUGGGUUAAGUCCCGCAACGAGCGCAACCCACGUCUUUAGUUGCCAGCAUUUAGUUGGGCACUCUAGAGAGACCGCCGGUGAUAAACCGGAGAAGGUGUGGAUGACGUCAAGUCAUCAUGCCCCUUACAUCUGGGCUACACACGUACUACAAUGCUACGGACAAAGAGCAGCAAGUUCGCGAGGACAAGCAAAUCUCAUAAACCGUGGCUC
rnacentral:rRNA from 1 species